AAGUGAUGCUGUUCUGGUACUGCUAACCACUAAAUAUAAAAGCCUUAUGGAUAUAUUCUGAGUAAAUACAUCAUUGAAAGGAAACACUUGGUUGAAUGUAUAAACUGUGGCAGCUGCUAACGAGCUGUAGUGGUUGUUUGACAGAUCGUGGUCUGACUCUGAUGCUAAACUAACUAGUCUGGGGCUGUUCUUUCUGACCAUUACUAUUCGCAAACAAAGCUACCUCACUUUAAAGCACAAAAUUGGUGCACAUUCUUCCCAUGCUUUAUCAGAGUAGUUUGGAUUAGGACCGCUCUGCUGUACAUAAGAUUGCUUGCCAUUACAAAAGCUGGACCUGCCUUUAGAGGCUGAACUCUAAAUGCCACUAAAGGGUGGUUUCAGUGAAUUUUCUUAUAAUGAGACUAGAGUUGGUGGGUAUGAGGGACAUGUGUUUUCCAUGGCAGGCUGCCUAUGCAGUGUUGUGAAAUUCAUGGGUUUUUCCCUCUCCGUUACGUCACAUUGUUUAGGUAGUAGUCAUGCUUUCUUUUAGUACCUUCAUUGGGGAUGGAAAAUAUUGACUUUAGCCCAUCUGCUUGUGCAGUGGAUCAUUCUCUGCUCUGCAGAGAUACUGUACAUAUUGCUUUUUAUGUGGUGGUUGAAUUAGUACAAAAUGUAAGUUUUUCAUGUGUCAGUAUUGCAUCACUGCGUUCCAUAUUAUUAUUAUUAUUAUUAUUAUUAUUAUUAUUAUUAUUGUUAUUUUAUUCCUGUGCAGAAUAUGUUGAUGACGUUAAUAAUAAUAAUGAUAAUGUUGCAGAAUAUCUAGGUUGUUCACAUAGUUGCAACUCAACUAUGCAAAUGCUCAUUCAUUCAUCUACAGUAUCCACUUUAUCCUGGUCAGGGUCAUGGGAAUGCAUCCAUGGUUGGCCACCAGUCCAUCACAGGGUAUCUACAUUCGAUAUAUUAGGCAGCAAGGGAACAGUCAUUUCUCAAAGUUGAUGUGUUGGAAGCAGGAAAAAUGGGCAAGCGUAAGGAUCUGAACGACUUUGAUGAGGACCAAAUCAUGAUGGCUACACAACUGGGUCAGAGCAUUUCCAAAACUGCAGGUCUUACGGGGUGUUCCUGGUAUGCAGUCACAGAAACAGAACAUGAACUAGAAACAUGAACUAGUACUAUGGACUGGGAGCAGAAAAACCAGCGGGGACUAAUUUAUAGUCGAAACUAACUAAAUCUAUCAAGGAACAUAACAUUAACAACGUAUCUAACUAUACUAUAUCUACUAUAAUACUCCGCGAGGUGUACUGGGACGCGAGCGGUAUAUAUUCCCAAUAUAAUCAGCCGUAUAUCCUGAAUAGAACCAUUUUCUGCACUUUUUAAUGCACUUUUUUGUUGUAGGCUACAGAGUGUUCCAUUCUUUCAGCAGUCAGUUAUAGGCCUAACAUCGGCUAUUCAAGGGGGGCUCAAAGAUGACCACAUCAAAAUAGUUUUAUUUUACUCAUUUAUUUAUUUAAACUUAUUUUGUACCUUGUUGGUAGCCUAUGCCUGCUGGAAAAAAAUGAAAAAAAAUGUUCAGUGUUAAAUAAAUAUUUUUAAAUUGUUUUUGUAAUUGAUUUUUUUCUUUGAAAAGCAAGACAAAAUACUAAAAAGCACAUUUUGACUAUUUAAUUUAUGCAGUGGUGAAAAAAGGCAAAAUGAAUGGAAAAAAUGCGACUUUUCGUAGGUGUUUUCGUCCUUGACUGUUUUUUCGUAGGUGUUUUCGUCCUUGACUUUUCUUUCCGUAGGUGUUUUCGUCCUUGACUUUUCUUUCCGUAGGUGUUUUCGUCCUUGACUUUUCUUUCCGUAGGUGUUUUCGUCCUUGACUUUUCUUUCCGUAGGUGUGUUUUCAUAGUAGACAACCACAUUAGUUUGAGAAGAACUACAUCAAACAGAACUAAUCUACGACAUUUAUAAUUUCUGAAGUCCAUAGAGAAUAAAUUAAAAUGUACGUGUAUGGUUUGAUAUGGAGGACUGAAUGCUAGCCGCCUAAUAAAUGCUACUUCAUGUGCUAACUGCUGAAUGCAAAUAUGUUCACACACGAACAAACUUAUAGUAGCUAACAUUCUCUUUCAAAAAUCAGAAAAGCUGAUCAGUAAACUGUCUCUUUACCUGCUGAUAUUUCAUCACCAAAAACAUUCGUUUCUGUGUGUGUUUGUGGCGUUUCGCCUGGACUGUUCAAUCUCUGGCAGCAAUAGAGCAGUAACGAGCUUAAGGCAUUUAUUGCAGCAGGAACUGCUCAUCUACUUGUACAAAGUACAGCCGGACUCUAGACCUUUCAGUCUGUGUCUUUUGGGUCACGUUUCUUUAUAAGUGCUAUAGUCUGUAGAGGAAAUGCUUAGUCAUAUUAGAAUUUCAAUUAGAAGUGUUGGGUUGGUAAUUGAUAUUAUAAUUUCAAUUUAGUUGCUAAUUUGCAAAUUAUUCAGAGAGCUUGGGAUGCCUGGUCGGACAUCUCUAACAGUAUUUAGCAUUACUGGCCAGAUUGCAUGUUGCAAAAAAACCAUAAUUGCUCAUUAUAACCAUCAUGAUUUCAUUAAUAUGAUUUCCUUCAUGAAUUAUUAAUGAAUAAAAAGGCUAGAGCUGAUUGUAUCAUAAGAUGCAGGCUAUAUGCAUCCAUGAUGCUCAGACGUAAUAGCCAUUCUGAUUGAGUUUCCACUCAAUUACAGUUUCCACGGACAACAGAUUUGUUAUAAUGAUAGUUUCAUCUGAGCCUGGAAACAGACCACAGUUUCCUUUCCACUGUUAUAUAAUAUGGCUUUUACAGAGGGCAUGGCAUUGGUGAAGUCCUGUAAUCGAAUAGCACCGAUUUAUACGUAAAGCAUAAAAGUAAUGUGGCUUUGGGCGUAUUUAUGUCGCCCUUAUGACAGCUUGAGAAUGUUUGUUGGAUCUCGUUAUGACUUUAAAACGAACUGCAUUUACUUGGCCUUAAUAUACAAAGAAAUUAAAUGUUAGAAAUAUUAUGCAUCUGUAGUGCUCUGUGAACGUAGGGGUGUGAAUUUCGAAGCUGGGCAUUUAUUUAUUGUCUCGCACCGCAGCUGUAUGAUUUCCUGUUGGAUUCUAACGGGACGGAAAAAGAGAGGGAAAGAGAAAUCAAGCAAGACCUUGAG
ensembl:lncRNA